rnacentral:lncRNA from 1 species
GCAGGUGGAGGAACUCAGCCAUCCCGGUUACCGGUGGCAGGAUGAUUUCCUUUCAUCCCAACCUUUAUUUCCACAGUGAAAUCAUCAUGAAGGAGCACUGUGUUGGCAUCCUCGCUUCAAAGGAUUCCUCUGCCUGCUGAUGCUGCUUUUCCCCCACAUGAGGAGAACAUGCAGACAGUUAUAAAAAAUUCUGUGCCUGGGGUACUCUCGCUCUGUAGACCAGGCUGGAGCGCAGUGGCAGGAUCUCAGCUCAACACAUCCUCCGCCUCCCAGGUUCAGCCUCUGCAGUAGCUGGGAUUACAAGCAUGCAUCACCACGCUCAGCUAAUGUUUUGUAUUUUUAGUAGAAGCCAGGCUUCACCAUGUUGGCCAGGCUGCUCUCCUACUACAG